rnacentral:rRNA from 1 species
GAUGAACGCUAGCGGCAGGCUUAACACAUGCAAGUCGAGGGGCAGCAUAAUGAAGUAGCAAUACGGAAUUGAUGGCGACCGGCGCAAGGGUGCGUAACGCGUGAGCAACAUGCCCGUAUCUGGGGGAUAACCGGUGGAAACGCCGACUAAUAUCCCAUAACAUAUUUGGAGGCAUCUUCAGAUAUUGAAAGAUUCGUCGGAUACGGAUUGGUUCGCGUGAUAUUAGCUAGUUGGUGAGGUAACGGCUCACCAAGGCGACGAUAUCUAGGGGUUCUGAGAGGAAGGUCCCCCACAUUGGAACUGAGACACGGUCCAAACUCCUACGGGAGGCAGCAGUGAGGAAUAUUGGUCAAUGGCCGAAGGCUGAACCAGCCAUGCCGCGUGAAG